UUCGGAUUGGAGUCUGCAACCCGACUCCAUGAAGCUGGAUUCGCUAGUAAUCGCGCAUCAGCCACGGCGCGGUGAAUACGUUCCCGGGCCUUGUACACACCGCCCGUCAAGCCAUGGAAGCCGGGAGUGCCUGAAGUGCGUGACCGCAAGGAGCGUCCUAAGGCAAUACCGGUGACUGGGGCUAAGUCGUAACAAGGUAAC
rnacentral:rRNA from 1 species